AGAGUUUGAUCCUGGCUCAGGAUAAACGCUGGCGGCGUGCCUAAAACAUGCAAGUCGAACGGCCUCUUCGGAGGCAGUGGCGGACGGCUGAGUAACACGUGGGUGACCUGCCCUCGAGCGGGGGAUAACUGCCCGAAAGGGUGGCUAAUACCGCAGAUGUCUGUCCUUCGGUGGGCAGACUGAACCGAUGCAGGGUUCGGGGAGGGGCCCGCGGCCGAUUAGCUGGCUGGUGGGGUAACGGCCUACCAGGGCUGCGAUCGGUAGCUGGUCUGAGAGGAUGAUCAGCCAGACUGGGACUGCGAACGGCCCAGACUCCUACGGGAGGCAGCAGUUAGGAAUUUUGGGCAAUGGGCGCAAGCCUGACCCAGCAACGCCGCGUGGGUGAUGAAGGCCCUCGGGUCGUAAAGCCCUUUUCCCAGGGAAGAUGGUGACGGUACCUGGGGAAUCAGCCCCGGCUAACUACGUGCCAGCAGCCGCGGUAAUACGUAGGGGGCAAGCGUUGUCCGGAUUUAUUGGGCGUAAAGCGCUCGCAGGUGGUCCGUCGCGUCGUGCGUGAAAGGCCCCGGCUCAACUGGGGAGGGUCGUGCGAUACGGGCGGACUGGAGGCCAGUAGGGGGAUGCGGAAUUCCGGGUGUAGUGGUGGAAUGCGUAGAGAUCCGGAGGAACACCAGCGGCGAAGGCGGCAUCCUGGACUGGUCCUGACACUCAGGAGCGAAAGCGUGGGGAGCGAUCCGGAUUAGAUACCCCAGUAGUCC
rnacentral:rRNA from 1 species